rnacentral:lncRNA from 1 species
CUCAUUUUUCCUUGUUCGGGGUUUGAGGUGCCACCUUACAAAAGGAUGGGUGUACGCUCUCUUUUCAGAUUUGGGGUUUUUUUUUUCUGUUCUAGAUGUGGUUCAUCUCAAAGCCCUUUACACUUUGGAGCCAGGCCUGUUCAAUUUUACAAAUAACACGUUUUGCUUGUAGUCAGGGUGCUGUGACAACAUGAAGAGUUCGAGCUACCUCCCAGGAUGAGUGCAGGUUUUCCUGGUGACAAAUCUCAGGCAUUCAAAGGUUCUGUUAGCAGUGCCAUACUUGUGGGUUUACAGAGAUGGUGUGUCUGGCUGAGAACAAAGGAGCCGUACCAGGAAAGUUGAAGCAUAUCUUCAUUUUCAAGUCCAGGCUAAAAUAAGGUCUGAGGAAAAGAAUGAGCUGCGUGUGAAGGAUAGGAACAGAAAUCAUGAAAGAUCUGUUUGUCCAGGCCAGUGUUUCACCAUAAGAGAUCACUUUAAAAUAAAUGAUGAAAUAAUUCUUUGCAAUUGCAAAUUUACCUUCCUUGCUUACCACAUUGUUAACUGUAGGAGCUGAUACCUGGUUCUUCCACUGUUAACUUGUACUCUGUGUUUGUUCUAGCAAUAAAUGCUCUUUAUGCUA